GUCAAUGGAAGAACUAAACAGAAAUCUGACAGCUGUAAAGAAAAUUGUGUGCAUAUAAUAUUUCAUGUAAGGGAAUUGGCAUUUAUAGAUAAUUCGGAGGGCUAAAAUCAAGAGUCUAGUGAGAUGCCAAUUUUUUAAGAUCGUCCACUUGAUCACCUUCCGAGGGAUAACUGAGGUAUCUUCUGUCAAGAAAGUGGAUUAAAAUGUGAUGAUGACUUGGAAUUGAGUUGCAGCCAAUACUAAAAUGAACUACAAGUCAUGCUGUGAAAAAGAUCGAGUAUAUAAUUAUAUGGCCUGCAAGAAUGAAUCUUGUAAACACUAUAUCUGUUGGGUAUGUUUCCGCUUGUCGGAACCACACAGUAGCAGUUGGUACACUUAUAUCAUUGUUUGUCAUCCUAACAUAAUGAUUCACAUUGAUUCAUA